GGGUGUCUUGCUGGAGAUUCCUGUGCCUUCCAAAGAACACCAAGAACUCAGAGAACAAUCAUCCGGGGCCGGCAUGUUUUUCCUUUCUAAGCGGGCUGUCUAUGCUAAUGGCUUGCAACUUGUCAACAGGAACCAAAUUCCCAUGGUGUCUGAAGGCAGAAACCAUGGCAUCUUGGCAUGUUUCACCACGCUCCAAUCAAUCACCUCUGAAAACAACACUGUGAGAGAGAGAGAUUGGUUGGAUGGGAUGGAUGGAAAACCAGAAUUUAUUCCCCGUUUCCUUUCUCCUCCUGCCACAGUGUACAUAACUGCAGCAGUUGUAUAAAUUGUUUAGGGAAGAGGAUCUCACUCCUCUGUAUGCAGGGGUUUGGGUCCCAGUUCUGAUGGGCCGGUAGUAAGGUUCUUUUAUGCCAUAUAUUUAUGAUGGGUGUCUUGAGAUUUCUUUAUGACUUGGAAACGUUUAUGGUGGAAGAACAGAUGCCGACCUCUAUUGCUUUUCAUCAUCUAUUUUAAGAACAGAAUGCGAUAUAAUUAAGUAUAAUAUUAAUUUAACAACAUUUAGAAUCUUCUGCCAGAAACACACGCGGUGACGUAAUAGUGGAGUGAUGUGGUGGUGGAAUACACUCACUAAGAGAAUAGUGUGUUUGGGCAUGUCUUCAUCAGAUAAUGUUUCCCUAGCAAUUUGGUUCAGCCUGUAGCCAACUUGAUUUGUAAACCAGGAGGUGGUCAGAUGGAGACUGCACAUUUUGCAUCAGAUAAUGUAGUGAUUCUCAGGAUGGGCAGCUUUCUGAGAGAGAGAGAGAGAGAGAUGGCUACUAAGAAGGCUUUUGCUUUGGCCAGACUUUGGCAGCUCUGGAUGCUGCAGAAAAGGAUGCUGAGCAGCAGGAGUGGGAGGCAGCUGUGUGCUGCUGGGCACAGACAUGGGAGGCUGAUCUGAUCUGAGCAUCAGUCACUGCAGAAAUAAGCAGGAAUCCUCAGGCCAGAGAUAAGACACUGUGUUCAUCAUAGCAUGUUCCCAAGGGCUGGAGGUGAAACUAUGUGCUGGUGGGCAGCAAGAGGAAGACACUGCCCAGGUGAGAGGGACCAGUUCUCCACCUUUGCUAUCUAUUGCUAUUCUCUUGGUGUCUACCCAGAGUUAUCCACAGGAAAGGUGUGGCAUGGUUGGUAAGACAUCUCCAUUCUCCAAGGGCCUUUGGUACAUCACCAACUGCAUAUAACUGAAUCCUCCCAUGAGUUAAGCACUGAACAGUUAAAUGAAGUCAUAUCCGAGUUCAAAUUCAAGGUGGUCGAAAGGACUGAGUUAUUCCAGGCUGUCUGGGAGAUUACUUUCAAAUCUCCUCCAGUGAUUUAGGAAAACAAAAAGUGCUCCUUUGGGAAAUGCCUCAGGAAUAUGGCUGUCCACUGGGAGGAAGCACAGACACGCUUACUGUGUUCUCAGGGAUGCUGGCAGAGCCCUGGGCAGCAUGGGAAGAGAC